rnacentral:lncRNA from 1 species
CCAUCCGCAUGCGUGUCCAGGGAGAAUCAGAGGCCGUUACGCACAGGGCAGGGAUCUGAUUUCCUCGUACGUCCGUAUCAAUGUAGCAGGGAUAGGUGGCCCAGUGAUAGCCAGUCUGUUAUACGUCAUUGCUAGUAGAAGGCUAGAUGAAAGGCUCAAGAACCAAAAUGCAUUUUCAACUUAUAUAGAAGGGCAUUAUACAUCAUACUGAUGACCGCUGGAUUUCUUCACCCCGGUCUAAGGCCAGGCUCAUUAGGAUAACCCAUAAUCUGAAGGCUUCUAAGUCUCCUCCAAGAACCAGAUCCAGCCCGCUCAACUUAAAGACUAGGCUCCAAUCAGAUUCUUCAAUCAGGCCGGCUCAGCUCUUUCGGCCCAACAAACAGAUCCUCUUUGGACUCAGUUCUAAUCUUAUCUCCCGGACUAGUUCGGAACCAGGAAGAAGACCGACCCGCCUGUCUUGCCGAUCCAUCCGCAUGCGUGUCCAGGGAGAAUUAGAGGCCGUUACGCACAGGGCAGGGAUCUGAUUUCCUCAUACAUCCGUAUCAAUGUAGCAGGGACAGGUGGCCCAGUGAUAGCCAGUCUGUUAUACGUCAUUAGCAGACGGAGGAAACAGAUAAAAGGGGAGAUACUCCCCUCUAGGUCUAAGUUUUUUUCCUAAGUUCACAAACCCAUUGUAAAAC